rnacentral:rRNA from 1 species
GAUGAACGCUGGCGGCGUGCCUAAUACAUGCAAGUCGAACGAACGGACGAGAAGCUUGCUUCUCUGAUGUUAGCGGCGGACGGGUGAGUAACACGUGGAUAACCUACCUAUAAGACUGGGAUAACUUCGGGAAACCGGAGCUAAUACCGGAUGAUAUUUUGAACCGCAUGGUUCAAAAGUGAAAGACGGUCUUGCUGUCACUUAUAGAUGGAUCCGCGCUGCAUUAGCUAGUUGGUAAGGUAACGGCUUACCAAGGCAACGAUGCAUAGCCGACCUGAGAGGGUGAUCGGCCACACUGGAACUGAGACACGGUCCAGACUCCUACGGGAGGCAGCAGUAGGGAAUCUUCCGCAAUGGGCGAAAGCCUGACGGAGCAACGCCGCGUGAGUGAUGAAGGUCUUCGGAUCGUAAAACUCUGUUAUUAGGGAAGAACAUAUGUGUAAGUAACUGUGCACAUCUUGACGGUACCUAAUCAGAAAGCCACGGCUAACUACGUGCCAGCAGCCGCGGUAAUACGUAGGUGGCAAGCGUUAUCCGGAAUUAUUGGGCGUAAAGCGCGCGUAGGCGGUUUUUUAAGUCUGAUGUGAAAGCCCACGGCUCAACCGUGGAGGGUCAUUGGAAACUGGAAAACUUGAGUGCAGAAGAGGAAAGUGGAAUUCCAUGUGUAGCGGUGAAAUGCGCAGAGAUAUGGAGGAACACCAGUGGCGAAGGCGACUUUCUGGUCUGUAACUGACGCUGAUGUGCGAAAGCGUGGGGAUCAAACAGGAUUAGAUACCCUGGUAGUCCACGCCGUAAACGAUGAGUGCUAAGUGUUAGGGGGUUUCCGCCCCUUAGUGCUGCAGCUAACGCAUUAAGCACUCCGCCUGGGGAGUACGACCGCAAGGUUGAAACUCAAAGGAAUUGACGGGGACCCGCACAAGCGGUGGAGCAUGUGGUUUAAUUCGAAGCAACGCGAAGAACCUUACCAAAUCUUGACAUCCUUUGACAACUCUAGAGAUAGAGCCUUCCCCUUCGGGGGACAAAGUGACAGGUGGUGCAUGGUUGUCGUCAGCUCGUGUCGUGAGAUGUUGGGUUAAGUCCCGCAACGAGCGCAACCCUUAAGCUUAGUUGCCAUCAUUAAGUUGGGCACUCUAAGUUGACUGCCGGUGACAAACCGGAGGAAGGUGGGGAUGACGUCAAAUCAUCAUGCCCCUUAUGAUUUGGGCUACACACGUGCUACAAUGGACAAUACAAAGGGCAGCGAAACCGCGAGGUCAAGCAAAUCCCAUAAAGUUGUUCUCAGUUCGGAUUGUAGUCUGCAACUCGACUACAUGAAGCUGGAAUCGCUAGUAAUCGUAGAUCAGCAUGCUACGGUGAAUACGUUCCCGGGUCU